GACGAACGCUGGCGGCGUGCUUAACACAUGCAAGUCGAACGGAAAGGCCCUGCUUUUGUGGGGUGCUCGAGUGGCGAACGGGUGAGUAACACGUGAGUAACCUGCCCUUGACUUUGGGAUAACUUCAGGAAACUGGGGCUAAUACCGGAUAGGAGCUCCUGCUGCAUGGUGGGGGUUGGAAAGUUUCGGCGGUUGGGGAUGGACUCGCGGCUUAUCAGCUUGUUGGUGGGGUAGUGGCUUACCAAGGCUUUGACGGGUAGCCGGCCUGAGAGGGUGACCGGCCACAUUGGGACUGAGAUACGGCCCAGACUCCUACGGGAGGCAGCAGUGGGGAAUAUUGCACAAUGGGCGGAAGCCUGAUGCAGAAACGCCGCGUGCGGGAUGACGGCCUUCGGGUUGUAAACCGCUUUCGCCUGUGACGAAGCGUGAGUGACGGUAAUGGGUAAAGAAGCACCGGCUAACUACGUGCCAGCAGCCGCGGUGAUACGUAGGGUGCGAGCGUUGUCCGGAUUUAUUGGGCGUAAAGGGCUCGUAGGUGGUUGAUCGCGUCGGAAGUGUAAUCUUGGGGCUUAACCCUGAGCGUGCUUUCGAUACGGGUUGACUUGAGGAAGGUAGGGGAGAAUGGAAUUCCUGGUGGAGCGGUGGAAUGCGCAGAUAUCAGGAGGAACACCAGUGGCGAAGGCGGUUCUCUGGGCCUUUCCUGACGCUGAGGAGCGAAAGCGUGGGGAGCGAACAGGCUUAGAUACCCUGGUAGUCCACGCUGUAAACGGUGGGUACUAGGUGUGGGGUCCAUUCCACGGGUUCCGUGCCGUAGCUAACGCUUUAAGUACCCCGCCUGGGGAGUACGGCCGCAAGGCUAAAACUCAAAGGAAUUGACGGGGCCCCGCACAUGCGGCGGAGCAUGCGGAUUAAUUCGAUGCAACGCGUAGAACCUUACCUGGGUUUGACAUGGAUCGGGAGUGCUCAGAGAUGGGUGUGCCUCUUUUGGGGUCGGUUCACAGGUGGUGCAUGGCUGUCGUCAGCUCGUGUCGUGAGAUGUUGGGUUAAGUCCCGCAACGAGCGCAACCCUUGUUCACUGUUGCCAGCACGUUAUGGUGGGGACUCAGUGGAGACCGCCGGGGUCAACUCGGAGGAAGGUGGGGAUGACGUCAAGUCAUCAUGCCCCUUAUGUCCAGGGCUUCACGCAUGCUACAAUGGCUGGUACAGAGAGUGGCGAGCCUGUGAGGGUGAGCGAAUCUCGGAAAGCCGGUCUCAGUUCGGAUUGGGGUCUGCAACUCGACCUCAUGAAGUCGGAGUCGCUAGUAAUCGCAGAUCAGCAACGCUGCGGUGAAUACGUUCCCGGGGCU
rnacentral:rRNA from 1 species